AAAAUGAAAACAACACUCAACAUGAAAAACACCCUAACUCUACAGAGCAAUGCGAUUAGUUUCAUUUUGCAGAAUAGAAUAAACUCAUUGUAGCUAUGUUUUGCAGCAUUUCUUUUAUGAUCGCUUAUCGUUUUUGACGCUACGGCAAAUAAACAACAAACUGUUUUCAUUAGCCAGAAAUCGUUUGAUAAUAAAUGGUUUAAUAAUAAUCUUAUCUUUCUCGUUACAUUAAAUUGAGGAAAAGUUAGAUGAGGUCGAGUGUUCAGUAUAUGUGUUUGGCUAGUUGCACCCAGUGGAACGUUGAGAGCACUUUGCUCUCGUUUUUCAGCUUUACGGUUCUAGAUUGUCUGUAUGAAUGACAUGAUGUUAUAAUAACCAGAUUUGCUAUAUUUGGAGAACACGAAGUGUGUCAUAAUGUUAACUUACAUUGCUCCGGAGUGAAGUCUUGAGAGCGGACAAAGCAACCUAAAUUAAAAGUAUUUGAUGGAGCCUUUUGAUCCUUCUUCUCCUCAUACCAGUAAAAUAAUUAAGAUUGGCUCUUACUUAUUAUAUACUUACUUACUUAGCUAGGGGCGGCCCGAUGGUGCAUGUGAUAAACGGCGCCAGUCCACACGGCCGGACCGGGUUCAAAUCCCAUCCGGACCGUUCCCCCGUAGCAAGGACUGACUAUUCGGCUACGUGGUAAAAAUAAGUCUAGUAAGCCAGAAAUGGCCGGCGUGACCUGUAAAGUCGUUAAAAGCCAAGAAGAAAGAGACUUACUGAGCUCUUACACUUCUCGCGGUCCAGCGUCUGUCAAUCCGUUAUCCCGUUCCUUCUGGCGAACGCGUUAACGCCAUCGCUCAAUCUCAGUUUGGGUCUACCAGGCUUCCUCUGUCCAUAUGACGUACCUAAAAGGACAUCAGGGGUUGGGCCGUCCGAUGCCAUUUACAUGUAGCACUGGCACAGGAAAUCAUAAGGAAAAAUAAAUUAAUGAGAUUACAGAUACUCUUGGUUCAGAGAUUUAUUAAUAAUGCUUCCAAAGAAACGAUUGUUUAUUUAUUGUGUGUAUUUAACCAUCUCUAAACUAACUACUGUGUCAUAAAAGUGGAAAUGAUUCCAGUGUUACGCACUGCGAAAUAUACAUCCAUUGCAAAUAUGGUUAUGUUGGGUUGCACUAUCAAUUGAAAUUGCAGUUUGUAUUCCCCUGCGGGAAUGUUCUUCGGUGCGUGUCGUUCUUGAAAGUACCAAGACAGAUUGUAGGUUCGAUUCUGCAAAAAGGAAAUAAGUGUCAAUUGGUGUACAAAUUUACAUUUUUUUGUAAUUCUCACCCCUGUUGGACAAGGAACCAACAACUCUGGAACCGUUUCUUCUACUAUAUCAUACACAUGCUUUUGUACACCAAAUUGUGGCGGAUGUCGAAUUAACUCACACGCGUCUUCUCCUAUAGUGAUUAGGAAUGGUUGAUAUGUGCUAAAUUUAUAGAACAUUCCAACUUUCACUAUAAUUUUGUCGUAUAGUUUAGGAACAUUUAUAGACACAUGAACCAUUGUAGGUGCGUUUCUUCGCGGGAUACUUUUACAGGAGUAAAGUGUCGAUUCUUUGUACGGCAUAUCAAUGCAGAUAUAUUUUUUAACUUUAAAAGCAUAUGAAGAAGCAGCGGUGCAGCUUGUUGGUACAUGUUUUAAAAAAAUAGUUAAAACAAAUCCAAUUAUCAAGUAUCCUGUUAGCCUGCGCAGAAAUUGGAACGUUCCCAUUUCGCUUGAUAGAAUAAACUGCACCAUGAACCAUGAACGUUGCUCUUUUAGAGGUGUACUAAUCGGUUCUUAAAAUCAAACAAAUAAAGUAUGAUAUUUGUGCAUUAGUAUCAAUCUUUGGAAAUGGGUUUAUAAUGAUCUCUUCAAAUGUUAGAAAUAAAUUAUCAGUUUGUCCUCUGCUAAUGGUAUUCUGUCCUAUGCGUAAGAAGAAACGGAAGAAUCGUUUUGUCUCAAGUGCGUUUGUUAGCUUUUGUCAAGUUUUAAAUUUUUUGCACUAGAUGUAAAAUAAAAUCAAUUAGAUCAGAUAGGCUAAUCGCCUAUCACUUAGAGAGAGUAUAAGAGACGUGUUUAAUGGCAAAUAUACUACGCGUUCCGGAGCUCAAAAGUGUAUAAAAUCCCAACCAUUUUUACAAUCCAAGCAUUAACUUUCACCACUCCACCACUGUCAGAUGUCGACCGGAUUCAGGAUACCUACUCCGAAUGGUCUGAGGCAGCAGCUAACGUAGAAAAAGUCCUGGACGUGUACCAAACAACGGAAGUUUAUUGUUUGUCUGUGCGCGGAAGUGCAUGUUCAUGAUGUGCAACGUAAUAUGAUGUAUGGGAUCAUCUUUUUGUUAAGUACGUCUGGCCCCAACGAGCGUUUAGACUACGUUGGAAUAUCACAAGUGCAAAUGAAACGAAAUUGCAACGCUAUUUCCAGAGAACCAAGCCAUCGUCACUGUCGGGGUCGUGAACGCUUGGAAGAUUCAGUGGGAUCCUAAAGAUGCAGAAAGGGUUCUUGGAGACACGCAGGAAUUAUCGAUGAUACAGCUAAGAUACGUCAACUUUGCCUAAAUAGACCUCUGAUGGAGUGACCGGAAAAUUGUACCAUUACGAUUGAACGCCCAAGUAUCCAGUAAAAGACGAGAAAGUAGUUGAGAUCACGAAGUUGCUGAAUCCGAAGCGUGAACCGGUCGAUAUAUUUGUUGGAAUGGAAAAAGCAUAGCAAGGAAGUUCUUCCUAGUGAGCCAUCCUCAUAUCGACAGAUAUGAUCUGUCCAUCUGGAAGUCUGACCAUCUGGAAGUACCUCGAAAAAGCCGUUCAACCCUAAGAAACUGACAAAUUAGUAUCGCCUUGGAGCGUAUCAGCAAACGAUCCGCAGAGUUCGCUAUUAGGACAACACGACUAAUUCCGGAUGUGUCUAGAUAUACUACGAGCGGACAUCAUCUGUUUCGCAGACCAUUCACUUUGAUUGAAAGAAGUACGGAGCAGGUUGGACAGAAGUUGGAUUGCAACUGAUCUAUUACAAACGUUUUGACUAACGCCAAGCAAUCGUUGUUCUAUAAGCAGUAGAAGAAGAUCGCCUAUAAAGAAAUAAACAACUUCCUGCCUCUAAUGUCCACGUUUACAAAACGAAAGGUUUUAUUUGAAUUGUCACAAUUAAACAAAGUUAUAUUUUCAUUAGCAGUAAUCGGUCCAAAAUGGUUUUAUAAUCAGUUCAAAGGCCUUCGACAAGUUUUAAAUAUACCUUGUAGCAUACCUGUUAUACAGCUUAAUUUCGAUUUAUAAACAGUUUCAACCAGACCAAGGAUUAAGUUAUAUAACAGAGUGCAACGUCAGAAACUGAACUAUCGAUUGGACCUUUAUGGGCUUGAGAUGUCCAACAAACACAAAUAGUCCGAAGUUCUUACUAUUUGUGAAAUAAUAAGAAGAUUUUAAUUUUAUAACCUAGAUUAGAAUGAUUAGUCGUUUUGUUUUUUUGAUGGUAUAUUUGUACCUUAUGCCGUAUCUCAGCUAUUGCAUCAUCUUUUGCUACCUUUUUUGUCUUGUAUCCAGUUUCAUAGAGCCAAAAACUUACUACAUCAUCAUUAAAAGGAUCGCAGAAAAUAAAUCAAACAAAUACUAAUCUUUUUUUAUUUCAAUUACUAGUCUAGUACAGCGAUAUCAAAUCGCCAUGAAAGAAUACCGGAAGGAACGAAUUACCGAUUCCAGUGCAUUUAAAGGUGUUCAAAUUUUUUUUUGGUUUUCUAAUCCGUGAUGUAACUAAGGAAGACCCAGGCCACUCAAUUUCUUAGUCGCAGGAAGAAUAAUUUCAUUGACUUACGUUACGUCUUGGUAAGGUUGUGUAUUUGGUGUGUGUAUGCAGUCACAUAUAGACCAAUUAAUCGAGCAUAAAAGUGGAAAUGAUUCCAGUAUUACGCACUGCGAAAUAUACAUCCAUUGCAAAUAUGUUGAGGGUGGAUUGUGCUACCAGUUUAAAUUGUAGUUUGUAUUCCCCUGCUGGAAUGUUCUUCGGCGCGUGCCGAUCUUGAAGGCACCAAGAGAUAUUGUAGGUACGAUUCUGCAACAAGGAAGCACGAGUUACAAAUGAAAUACAAACACAGGAUUUCAUUCUUUUACAUUACUUACGCCUGCUGGACAAGGGACUAACAACUCUGGAACUGUAUCUUCCAUUAUGUCAUACACAUGCUUUUGUAUCCCCCAUUCUGGCGGAUGUCGGAUUAAUUCACAAGCUUUUCCUUCCGUAGUAAUUAGGAAAGGUUGAUAAGUGCUAAAUUUAUAGAAGAGAUGAACUUUUACUACAAUGUCGUUGUAUAGGUUUGGAACAUGUAUGGAAACAGAAAUCAUCGUGGGUGCGUUUCUUCGCGGAAUACUUUUACAGUAGUGAAGCGUCGAUUCCUUGUACGGCGUAUCGAUGCAAACAUAUUUUGUAACUUUCAAAGAGUACGAAGAAUCACUAUUGCAGGUACACGGUAUAUCAUUUAGAAGAAAAGUUAAAAUAACACUAAUCACUAAAUGUCCCAUUAGCAUGUGGAGGAACUCGAAUGUUCGCAUUUCACUGGAUGUGUUGUACUGCUUAGAGCGUUGUUAAUUUUGUAUUAUAAGAAUUAUCAAGUAUUGUAUUUUGACUCUUAUGGCGUUGUUAAUCGUUUUCAAUUAUCUGACAAUUAAGCAAUGUGAUCUUUUCAUUAGAUUUGAGAACGAAUAAUGAAUUCCACUGGUCUAUGACAUUAUAGAAAAGAGUAGUACCACAAAUGCCCAUUAUAUUUGAGUUGGAAUAUGAGCUCGCAAUGGCUAUCCGACUAUUUAGCAAAAAUAAGUUCAGUAGGUCAGAAAUGGCUGCCAUGACCUUAGAGGUCGUUAAGAAAAGGCAAGAGAAGAAGACUCUAUAGAGACAAGAUAGAGUUUGACAUCCCGGCGAGAUACAGUCACGGCAUUGUAGUGUCACUAAGAAGGAAAAAAUACGAAUCAAAGUAACGUUUUUUUUUUAUGUCACUGUUAAAACCAGUGAUGUCAAACUCAUUUUUACUAGCGGGCCAGUUUGCAAACAAAAAUUAUCUUGCUGGCCAAUAUAGGUCGGAAAGGGAAGGAGAAGUCGGAAGGAAAUAAAAUACAACAGUACUUUGAACUUCAAGAAGGACUCUCGAGCGUGUUACUUAAAUGUAAAAGAGUACACACACAACAUAUAUAAAUUAUUCCUCAAUUUUCCAAGCUAAACCUCACCCAACCCAGAUAAUAAUCGAUGUUCUCGUUCUUCCUUCGCGGGCCGAAUUCAAAGACCUCGCGGGCCGGAUCCGGACAGCGGGCCGUAUAUUAGACAUGUCUGGUUUAAACCCUGACGUCAAGAAAGCAAAAAGUGUACCUACGUAUAUAUCUACGAAGACUGCAAUAUUUAAACUUUUGAAUAAGGCUUAUGGCGCUAGUAAGCCUAAACCUAAUUCGAGUAUUUGUAUCCUUGAAUAUGACUGAGGAGUUGGGCGCUUCUCAUAGAUGUUAGUACUCUACACAAAAAUUUAUUAAAUUCUUUUGAAGUUUGAUUCUAGAUUAUUAUAUUUUUUCUUUAAUGCAAUUUCCGAAACAUGCAUUAUUGUGUCAUAAAUGCAGAAACGAUUCCAGUAUUACGCACUGCACCAUAAACAUCCAUUCCAAAUAAGGUAAUGCUUGGUUGCACUAUCAGUUUAAAAUGCAGUUUAUAAUCUCCUGCUGGAAUGUUCCUAGGCGCGUACUUAUCGUGAAGGUACCAAGUAACGUUGUAGGUACGAUUCUGCAACACGGAAACCGAAGUUAGGAAUGAAAUACAAACACAGCAUAUCAUAAUUUUUAUAUUACUCACGCCUGCUGGACAAGGUAGUAGCAACACUGGAACAGAAUCUUCCAUUAUAUCAUACACAAGCUUUUGUAUGCCAAAUUGUGGUGGAUGCCGGACGAACUCACAACCCUGUGUUUCCAUGCUAACCAGGAAAGGUUGAUAAGUGCUAAAUUUAUAGAACAGCUGAACUUUCACUACAAUGUCGUUGUAAAGUUUUGGAACAUCUAUAGCCAUAGAAAUCAUCGUGGGUGCGUUUCUUCGCGGGAUAGUUUUACAGUAGUGAAGCGUCGAUUCCUUGUAUGGCGUAUCGAUGCAAACAUAUUUUAUAAUUUUUAUAGAGAAUGAAGAAGCACCGUUAGAGCUAGUUCGUAUAUCUUUUAAUAGUAAAAUGAAAACAACACUCAACAUUAAAAACACUCUAACUCUACAGAGAAAUGCGAUCAGUCCCAUUGUGCAGGAUAGAAUAAACUGAUUGCAGCUAUGUUUUGCAGCAUAUGAUCGCUAAUCGUUCGUAACGAAAUGAUCGUAAUUUACGUUACGGCAAUUAAACAACAAGCAGUUUUCAUUAGUUCCAUUGGAAAAUAUUUGCAAAGGGUAUUGUGAAUAGGAUUUAAACAUUCGCUUCAUUAAAUUCAGGAAAAAUUCGAUGAGUGCGAGUGUUCAUUAUUUGUGUUUGGUUAGUGGAUUCCAGUGGAACGUUGAGAGCACUUUCCUGUUGUUCCUCGUCUUUUUCUCUAGACUUUCUGCAGGAAUGACAAGAUGAUAUAAAAACCAGAUUCGCUUUAUCUAGAGGACACAUCACGCGUCACAAUGUAAAAUUUCAUCGUUCCGGAGUGAAGUCUUGAGAGCGAACAUAAGAAAAAAAAAUUGAAAAUUUUAUGGUACAUUCGGUAUUUGCUCUUGAUGCCAUUUGAAUACUUGGUUCGAAGUUCAAGUUACAAUUUUGUUGUAUUAUAUUUCCAAUUAAUUCCGGAAAUUAUUCCAGUAUUACGCACUACGACAUAUACAUCCAUUCCAAAUAAGAUGACGUUGCGUGGUGCUACCAGUUUAAAUUGUAGUUUAUAUUCACCUCCUGGAAUGUUCCUAGGCGCGUAUUUUUCUUGAAAGUACCAAGUAGCGUUGUAGGUACGAUUCUGUUAGCGUUGUAGGAAAUAAAAGUUAGAACUUGAAGGACAAUCACAGCAUUUCAUUUUUUUAUAUUACUUACGCCUGCUGGACAAGGAUCUAACAACUGUGGAAGAGAUUCGUUCAUUAUAUCAUACACGUACUUUUCUAUGCCAAAUUUUGGCGGAUGCCGGACGAACUCACAGCCCUGUGUUUCCAUGGUUAUCAGGAAAGGUUGAUAAGUGCUAAAUUUAUAGAACAGCUGAACUUUUACUACAAUGUCGUUAUAUCGGUUUGGAACAGUCGUAGACACGGAAAUUAACGUGGGUGCGUUUCUUCGCGGGAUACUUUUACAGUAGUGAAGCGUCGAUUCCUUGUACGGCGUAUCGAUGCAAACAUAUUUUGUAACUUUCAAAGAGUACGAAGAAUCGCUA